rnacentral:lncRNA from 1 species
CAAUGAUUCCUGCUCUUCUGUCUCCUUACAAAAUGAGGCGAGUUGUUUUCAAUGUUUCCACACGUGAGGAUGCAACCCUACCUUCGGAUUGGCCCCCAGGCGCCCAGGAUGUAACUGAUAGAAGAGGCUGGAACUAAACAAACAAAACCAUGACAUUCUCAAGUCCCUGGAAGCCUGGCUUCCUGAGGUGAUUCAAGUUUGACCCACCAGUGGCGCUCACGUGCCCUUUGCUGCAUCUGAGGACCAACAAGCACAUGGAGGCAUGUG